AGUCCCGCCCGCGUCGCCGGCCAGCCCCGGGACAGCCCGCCUGGCGCGCGGGGCUCUGCGCGCUGCGACCCUCCCCGGCAGUCCCGCCCGCCUCUCCUCGCCCUCUCUCUGCCUGGCCUCCGACUUUGCCUCUCGCUAUCCUCUCCGCCGGCGCCCCCUUUCCCGGCGGUCCCCGGGAUGGUCUCCGGCACCCCGAGGUUACGGGAAGUUCGCGGACUGGCGGGAGAAGGGGUUGGGGGGUGGUCCGCGGCGAGGGGAGCGGGGUGCAUCUUCUCUUCCUUUUAUGCUGAGUGGGUCAGCUCAUCACAGGCCUGCGGCCCCUGCAUGGGUGACAGAGGAGGCAAAGAUGACACAGAGAAACUGUCCCUUCAGGGACAAAGCGGGGACACCCACGAGCCUGGCUCUGCCUUACAAAGAAAUGAGAAGGAACCCUGUUCCUGCUUUUCACCGUAGGGCUGCCACACUUGUGUGUCCCUUCUUCCUUGAAUUUAACCAGGAGUGA
rnacentral:lncRNA from 1 species